UCUCAGUUCGGAUUGGAGUCUGCAACUCGACUCCAUGAAGCUGGAUUCGCUAGUAAUCGCGCAUCAGCCACGGCGCGGUGAAUACGUUCCCGGGCCUUGUACACACCGCCCGUCAAGCCAUGGAAGCCGGGGGUACCUGAAGUGCGUGACCGCAAGGAGCGUCCUAGGGUAAAACCGGUGACUGGGGCUAAGUCGUAACAAGGUAAC
rnacentral:rRNA from 1 species